UGGGGAAUUUUGGACAAUGGGCGCAAGCCUGAUCCAGCAAUGCCGCGUGCAGGAUGAAGGCCUUCGGGUUGUAAACUGCUCUUGUACGGAGCGAAAAGGUCUGCCCUAAUACGGUGGGCUCAUGACGGUACCGUAAGAAUAAGCACCGGCUAGCUACGUGCCAGCAGCCGCGGUAAUACGUAGGGUGCGAGCGUUAAUCGGAAUUACUGGGCGUAAAGCGUGCGCAGGCGGUUAUGCAAGACAGAGGUGAAAUCCCCGGGCUCAACCUGGGAACUGCCUUUGUGACUGCAUAGCUAGAGUACGGUGGAGGGGGAUGGAAUUCCGCGUGUAGCAGUGAAAUGCGUAGAUAUGCGGAGGAACACCGAUGGCGAAGGCGAUCCCCUGGGCCUGUACUGACGCUCAUGCACGAGAGCGUGGGGAGCAAACA
rnacentral:rRNA from 1 species